UAAUAAAUAAUGUGUUAAUUUAUAUACAAUAUUGGUACAAGCAUCUUAAUAUUUAAUUUGCAACUGUGAAUAUUGUCAGAAAAAUAUUGAAAAGAAUUUAUUGAAAUGUAAUAAUAAUAGCUAUUCUUCAAUAAGUAGGAUAAAUUCUUCACAUUCACAUCUUCUAGAAAAGUAUUUUGAAUGGUGGCAUUAACUCAUCAGUUUGACAUAAUCAACGUCAUAAUUUUGUAAUGUUGUUUGGCAAAAUUCUGAAAACAACAAUGUUGAGAAGAUGCUGUUUCUUUUGAUUCUGCAGUCAAUCUUCUGGACACAUUUUGAGAUGGUACUUAUAUUUUGGUUUAUAUCUUCCAUUAUGAAAGAAGAAUAUAGAUGGUCUGAAUCUAAAUUGCAGGAGUGAUUUUUGUGAAUUAUUUUAAUUUAUGCUCUUUUAUUAUACAGAGUAUGUGUAAACACAAAUCUGGCGGCAUGAGUCGCCCAUCAGCUACUGCCAACCAAACAGAAAAUAUUGCAUCAAAUAAUAAUGUUGCAGCAUGUGAUAAUGACCAGCUUGAUGAUGAAACAUCUUCCACAUCCAACAACCAACAAGAAAGCACUCCUUUACAUCCUCUACAAUUGAUACCAUCAUCUCUGCAAGAAUCAUCAGAAACAAGACUUCUUCUGUUAGAUAUUUCACCAAAUAUGGGAGUUCAGAGUGCAGAGAAUUCUGUUGGAAGAGAUUUAUGUGGUGUUCAACAAAUGACACUUAAUUCUGCAUCAUCUAUGAAGCCCAAUAAUUCAUCAACAUUUAAAUGGAAUGCAAUAAGAAGAGAGAAUGAAUCUGAUGAAGAUCACAUUUCUGAAAAGUCACCCAUGCUUGGAAAUGAUUGGAAUUCUCCAUUAUUAGAAAAGUCUUGUGAUCUUCCUGCUGUUUGUAUUUGUGAUGGUACAUCAAACAGUUACAUUGACUUUGGUCAUUCGUGCAGUAAUUAUCCUUAUCCUUCUUGUUCUGGUCAGAAUGAUAAAUACAAAAUGGAAUUUACUCCAUAUAGCCAAUAUAAUAUUCCAAAUUCAUUGCUACCUAGGUCUUUCCGUAAUUUGAAGGGAGGUGGUUGUGCAGUAGUUGAAAGGGAUUUCAUUGAACUAACUGAAGAAAAUCCAGAAGAAAUUGAAUUAUCAUCUAUUCAUGGUUGUGACUGCAGCACAAGAUCAGAAAAGAAAUGGCUUUUCUCUAGGCAUAAGUGCCAUAGUCUGGAUAGUAGUACAAAGCCCACAAAAGUGAGAAUCUCAAAUUCAGGCUUGAAUAAAAGUAGAUCUUUAGCUCAAAAUAUUAGUGUUAGACCAAUGGAAAAUAUUGAAGAAUCAUCAUUAGAAAAAUCAACAAAUGAUAAUUAUUCUUUUCCAGCAGAAAAUUUUGCAAAUGAUUCUUCUGUAGCUGGACCAUCUCAAAUCCAGAGACCUAGCAGUAUUCAUGGAGUAAGUGAAAAUGCUAAAGAAUACGAAGAAGAAGAAUUCAGGAGUCGUAGUUUCAGUCUAACACCAACAAUUAGUUUUGCUAUUUUUGAGAGUGAAUCAUCAAGUGAUACAGAAGAAAGUAUUGAACAGGAAUCAGUCCAAGCUACUUCUGAUAAUUAUAACAGUGUCAUGCCAGGAGAAAAGUCAUGUAUGCCUCCACCUAUUGGUUUAUCACUUCCCAUAGUUAACAGAACACUUCCUGGAUGUCCUUCUGCAGCUCAGCUAAGUUUAGCUAGUAGUUUAGGAGAUGGACCUAUAUGCAAGAUUUGUCAUAUGUCUGCUAAAGAUGGUGACCAGUUAAUUUCUCCAUGCCGUUGCGCAGGGACCAUGCAAUAUAUACAUUGUGGAUGUCUUAUGAUUCAUCCAGUGGCCAUAUUUCAAGGAAGCACAUCGGGCAUCAGGGGUUAACAGUGUGAAAGAGAGAUGGCUUGAGAUAUCUAGCAAAAAAUCUCGAAAACCACCGAGUUGUGAACUUUGUCAAUAUCAGUAUCAAUGGCAUAAAAAGUUUAAGGUGCGUCAUUGGCAGUUUCCGCACUGUUCCAGAAGGGACAAGAUAUUGCAUC
rnacentral:misc_RNA from 1 species